UCUCUUCCCAUGAUCUGCUGAGCUCAUGAGAAACUAAGGGACAAUCGUGAAAAUGUUGGUUGGAAGGAGUCCAGCUCGACUGGAGCAAAUCUCAUACCACCAGUAGCUCAAAGAAGCCAUGGCUGUUUCCCUAAAUCUUCAGGAAUGCAUCCUGCUAAAGAAUCUUAGAUUUUGACAAGAAGGUUGUCAGAUGCUCCCCCUUCAGCAUCAAUUGGAUCAUCACUUCUGAAAGAUAACCUCGUAUGAAUUGCAGAUCAUUCCUACGGCUGGAAAAGGGAUUACGGCUGAAGAAAAAGAGUGGUGGCCUGUGUCACCUGUUCCAGUUUCAGUGUGCCUAAUAACUGACGAAACCAACAGAACUUUUGGGCUCUUCUGACUAGGAAUGAACAUGGAACAGAAGGUGGAUGGGAGAAUAAAGCUCAUCUUUGUAAUGCUUAGUCUACAAUUUGUACAGCUGACCCAAGGUAUGAGGUGAAGGAUGCAUAGCUGAAUGUCAAAUAAUUUAGUGCAAGUCAGUAAUAGUCAUAUUCCAUUUUCCUUGCCACAUCAAAUCUUACAGAAUUUAGCUUAAGGUAGUUUUGCAGCUGAGAAACUUCAGCAUUCAUUGUUCCCUAUUUAUUUAGGUUUUUAUUCAGGAUUUUACUCAGUUUUUAUUAUCUACUACUGCCUAUAAAAAUAGAGUAAACUGAAUACCUUUGAUAGCUUAACACAUAAAAUUUGCAUUUCAGGUUCAUUUCAGUUUUUGUCACAUAUUUGUAUGACCAAAUGACGAUACUUGCUAUGUUUAUAAAAUCAAUAUAGCCUCAUAAAGGAGAGAUUUUUUUUCAUUUACUACAGAAGCUGUUACUGUUCAUUAUACAAAAGAAUUAUAAAUGUAUUGCUUUUCCUUACUGCUGGCUUUUCCCUUACAUUUUUCUUUUUUAUUUCUCCACCAAAAUUCUUUUCAACAGAAGAGAGCAGAGGUAUGUAAGAUAUCUAAAAAUGUCGCCAGUAAAGCAAGAAAUUGUUAGUAGGCUUUUUCUGCUUUCUGUGAUAGGAUCUGGUCCAUCAACUUCUAAAUACUAGGCAGUGAUUCUGAACACUGCUGAUGAAUUUCAUGUCCUGUUAAAAGGGCUUUUUCUGCCAAAUCUACUUAUUGGUUUGCUUGUCAUCAAAAUUCAACUGAGGAUGUGGAGAUCCUUCUCCAUCUAAAUAAAAGGAUUAAAAUAGUCACUUUAGCAAAAGAUCAAGUGAUUACAAGUAUAAGAAUUGUACCCACCAUAAUCCGAGGCAAUGAUUUGACCUUAAAGUACUGUAUCCCACCAGGUUUGAUACUGAUAGAAUACUGAAUGUUCAUACUCUACAGGAGCAUGCUUCUACAGGAAGGUUCACCAACAUCUGCUUCUGCCAUUGUGGGCCAAUAUAAUUAAAUAAGAGGCAUUACUUUUGGAGCAGCUUUAUUAUAUCCUGGGACACUUCAUAGCUUUAUUUUCCCCCCCAGUUUCUAAUAGAGAACACAACAGUAACAUUCUGGAAGUUCCAACAAAACAAAUCAGUCUGUCUCAUGUCACAUGUUGAUGGGCUGAGUUAAGAGUUGCCAUUAACUUCAGCUAACAGAAACGUGGUGCAGCAGGCACCAGCCACGCACCUACUUGAUUUUGUUCCAGACCUCCCACAAGCUUCUCAGCUCUGCUUCUGAUAUAUGCUGUCUUUCCACUGGCAAAGCAUCUCCUUGGUUUUGAGCUACAGUGAUACCGGCCAUCCAACUUUUACAAAUUCAGAUACAUUGUCUGACUAAAUGCAUGAAAGAGAAGUUGUGUGUGAGUUAAUUACUCCUAGAAAAUAUAAUGUGGCAUUUGAUAAGACAAGGCAAAGAAACUUCCUGUUCCUAAUGAUGUAUUUCUGAGUCUUCUUUUCAUAUGAUCAGAAGGGAUUUAAGUUACUAAAGCAUCGUGAUGACCUAAAAGAGAAUUAAGUAGUGUUUGUAAGCUGUGGUAUUCGGACUGUUUCAAGAUUGAGAUUUAUUUGUUUGUGGGAUAUUUCGUUUCUAUUUUUAAGUGCUAUUUUGUUGAGAAUCAAGCAAAGCAUAGGGCUAGAUAAAGAUCCAAGAAAAUAUAUCUUUCAGAUAGAUAGGGAUUUUUUUGCUGUCAAUACCAUUUUUUUUCCUGCUGUAUACAAGCUGGAUAUUUUCAAGUUAUGGAUUUAUAUAUAUGCAUGCAUAUUGAUUUACAUUUGUACAUUUAUACAUAUUGAUAUAUAUAAAUGUAUAUAUGUGACUACAGACCUAGUUUAAAUUGUUUUCUACUUGCUAAGUAUUGUUCAGUUCCUGCUAGAAGUAAAUUAGCAAAUAUAUUAAAUAGGUCAUGUAAAAAAAGAGAAUAUGCAAUCUCCUUUUGCCAGUUUUUA